rnacentral:snRNA from 1 species
GUGCUGGCGUCGGCAGUACAUAUACUAAAAUCGGAACGAUACAGAGACGAGCAUGGCCCCUGCGCAAGGAGGACAUGCAAAUUCGUGAAGCAUUCCAUAUUUUU